UACGAAGGGGGGCUAGCGUUGCUCGGAAUCACUGGGCGUAAAGGGUGCGUAGGCGGGUUUUUAAGUCAGAGGUGAAAUCCUGGAGCUCAACUCCAGAACUGCCUUUGAUACUGAAGAUCUUGAGUUCGGGAGAGGUGAGUGGAACUGCGAGUGUAGAGGUGAAAUUCGUAGAUAUUCGCAAGAACACCAGUGGCGAAGGCGGCUCACUGGCCCGAUACUGACGCUGAGGCACGAAAGCGUGGGGAGCAAACAGGG
rnacentral:rRNA from 1 species